rnacentral:misc_RNA from 1 species
CGGCAAUUGUCUUGGCAGGAAUUAGCGGAGGCUCAAAAUCAUCCUCAGAAAGGAAAUUGGCCUUCUUCUUCUCACUCCCAUCAAUGAGAAUGCGCACAUCAUUGCCAGAUUCAAUAAUGGCAGUGUAUACAUGAGACAAUUUGUCAGCUGGAACAGAAGGAGGAUUCUUUAGAUGAUGCUCAACGUAUUCCCCAGUCUUAGGAUUCUUAUGCUUCAAGAUGAAGUGCACCUUGUUUGUAGCCCCACACUUGUCAGGUCCAAACAUGAUAGAGUAAGGAGACUCAUUAUCGAACUCCUUAGCUUUCCAUCCGGCGUCUUGGGGCCGUAGGUACUUCAGAUAGGCACCACCACAUUCAAGACCAUUUUGAAGGCGAGUCUCAAACUGGAGGACCACAGUUCCGUCCUUGAGACUCACUGGCUCAUCGAGCUCUUUUACAAUGGCGUAUUUCCUUGCCUUCUCACUUACUAGAAGUCCGUAAUCAUCAUGUCCCUCACUCUUAGAAUGCUUCCAGACGCCUUGAUAAUCGUCCUUAUCGGACACGAUCCAGCGGCCUUCAAAACUCUCGUCGAAGGACUCGUAAAAGAUCUCAUCGUCCGACGCUCGGAGCUGAGCAAAAGAAAGACAAAGAACAAGCAAAACCGCAGCUAAACCUAAAGGAACCGCCUUCAUCUUCUGGAUCUCAAACCCUAAACUCUGUUCAGCCUUACAAGAUUAGAUCCCGAUCAAAAC